AUGUACAGGAUGGAUCCAAAUUCUUGUUAUAUACUGAAAAUUAGAUUGCUUGGCAACCCAAAAAAAGCUAGAAAAGAGCCCAUGUGCUUUUAUUUCGAGAAGGUUAUUGAUUCCGACUUGACAAAUUAUGAAGAUUUGGUUGAAUCAAUUAUAGUGCAGUACCAGCCACGUUAUUUGGAAGUUGCGCAUGUUCACUACUAUGAUGAAGUUCUGAAAACGUUUCCAGAAAUAAAAUCAGACCAAGAGUUGAUGUAUAUGUUUGAGAAACAUGUUAAGUCAAAGAUGGUGCAGAUGUUCAUUGUAUAUUGGGAACCCUCUGAACCAUAUGAGCCUAUCAUUGAGUAUUAUAGUGAUGUGCAUAUCCAACCUAAGAACAACAUAGACCAAGAUGAUGAUAGUUAUCUUCGCAACCCAAUACCGGAGAAUGAACAUGUUGGGAUUGAUGAAGAGAAUAUGUAUUUGAAGGAAGAACCUAAAGCUCUAAAUAUGGUUCUUUUUCCUGAUAAAGAAAAGGACCAAGACUAUGUUGCUAAUGGUGAGAGUGAGGAUGAGAGUGAGGAUGGGAGUGAGGAUGAGAGUAAGGAUGAGAGCGAGGACGAGACUGAAGUAGAGGAGGAUGAGGAGUUGCAUGAGGUAAAUCAUUUCCCAAAUAUAGAGUAUGAUAAGGAUGACCCUCCUAUGACUGAAGGUUUCAUAUAUCCCAAUAUGAAGGAGUUUAAGUUGGCCCUUUCUCAGCAUGCUAUCAAACAUGAAUUUGAGUAUAACAUAGAGAAGAGUGCACCAUGUAGGUUCAGGGGCUAUUGUAAAAGAAGAGAUGAAGAUAAUUGUCCAUGGAGGAUACAUGCUUCUACAACAGAUGAUUUGUGUAUCGUAGUGGUGAAAAAAAACCUUUUGGUCAUGAUUGCUCUAGUGCAAGAAGGAAAAAGAAGGUGA
rnacentral:rRNA from 1 species